UCCUCAAAAAGAGGCAGUCUCGUCUGACACAUGUAACAGACGACAAGGGUUGCGUUCGUUACCCCACUUAAGGGAACAAUUCAAACCACGAACUGACGACGGCCAUGCAUCACCUGUCCAACUGCCCGAAGGCGUCAAAAGUUUCCUAAUGACUUCAGCUGGAUUUCUAGCCCUGGUGAGGUUUUUCGUUUACCGACGAAUUAAGCCACAUGAUCCACCGCUUGUGCGAGUCCCCGUCUAUUCCUUUGAGUUUUAAUCUUGCGAUCGUACUACCCAGGCGCCUAACUUAACGCGUUUGCUUCGCCUCUCAGAGGGUCGAUACUCCGAAAAGCCAGUUAGGAUCGUUUAGGGCGUGGACUAC
rnacentral:misc_RNA from 1 species